rnacentral:lncRNA from 1 species
AGCAGCAAAAAGGCCCAGCACAAAGGAAAUGAUCUGUCAAAGGUAGCCAGUCUCACCUGUCCUUCCUGUGUGCUCACCUGUCCCUUCUGUGUGCUCACCUGUCCUUCCUGUGUGCUCACCUGCCCUUCCUGUGUGCUCACCUGUCCUUGCUGUGUGCUCACCUGCCCUUCCUGUGUGCUCACCUGCCCUUCCUGUGUGCUCACCUGUCCCUGUGUGCUCACCUGUCCUUGCUGUGUGCUCACCUGUCCCUGCUGUGUGCUCACCUAUCCUUCCUGUGUGCUCACCUGUCCUUCCUGUGCUCACCGUCCCUCCUGUGUGCUCACCUGUCCCUCCUGUGCGCUCACCUGUCCUUCCUGUGUGCUCACCUGUCCUUCCUGUGUGCUCACCGUCCUCCUGUGUGCUCACCGUCCCUCCUGUGCGCCACCUGUCCUUCCUGUGCUCACCUGCCCUUCCUGUGUGCUCACCUGUCCUUGCUGUGUGCUCACCUGCCCUUCCUGUGUGCUCACCUGCCCUUCCUGUGUGCUCACCUGUCCCUGUGUGCUCACCUGUCCUUGCUGUGUGCUCACCUGUCCCUGCUGUGUGCUCACCUAUCCUUCCUGUGUGCUCACCUGUCCUUCCUGUGCUCACCGUCCCUCCUGUGCUCACCUGUCCCUCCUGUGCUCACCUGUCCUUCCUGUGUGCUCACCUGUCCUUCCUGUGUGCUCACCGUCCCUCCUGUGUGCUCACCUGUCCCUCCUGUCGCUCACCUGUCCUUCCUGUGUGCUCACCUGCCCUUCCUGUGUGCUCACCGUCCCUCCUGUGUGCUCACCUGUCCUUCCUGUGCGCUCACCUGUCCUUGCUGUGUGCUCACCUGCCCUUCCUGUGUGCUCACCGUCCCUCCUGUGUGCUCACCUGUCCUUCCUGUGCACUCACCUGUCCUUCCUGUGUGCUCACCUGCCCUUCCUGUGUGCUCACCUGUCCUGUGUGCUCACCUGUCCUUGCUGUGUGCUCACCUGUCCCUGCUGUGUGCUCACCUAUCCUUCCUGUGUGCUCACCUGUCCUUCCUGUGUGCUCACCGUCCUCCUGUGUGCUCACCUGUCCCUCCUGUGCGCUCACCUGUCCUUCCUGUGUGCUCACCUGUCCUUCCUGUGUGCUCACCGUCCCUCCUGUGUGCUCACCGUCCCUCCUGUGCGCUCACCUGUCCUUCCUGUGUGCUCACCUGCCCUUCCUGUGUGCUCACCUGUCCUGUGUGCUCACCUGUCCUUCCUGUGCGCCACCUGUCCUUGCUGUGUGCUCACCUGCCCUUCCUGUGUGCUCACCGUCCCUCCUGUGUGCUCACCUGUCCUUCCUGUGCACUCACCUGUCCUUCCUGUGUGCUCACCUGCCCUUCCUGUGUGCUCACCUGUCCCUGUGUGCUCACCUGUCCUUGCUGUGUGCUCACCUGUCCCUGCUGUGUGCUCACCUAUCCUUCCUGUGUGCUCACCUGUCCUUCCUGUGUGCUCACCGUCCCUCCUGUGUGCUCACCUGUCCCUCCUGUGCGCUCACCUGUCCUUCCUGUGUGCUCACCUGUCCUUCCUGUGUGCUCACCGUCCCUCCUGUGUGCUCACCUGUCCCUCCUGUGUGCUCACCUGCCCUUCCUGUGUGCUCAGGUACCCCUGGCAUCUCUGUGUGUGUCCACACUUCCUCUUCUUAAGGGACACCUGGAUUAGGGGCCACCCUAAGGACCUCAUUUUAACUAACUUCCUUAUAGGCUCUGUCUCCAAAGUCAGUCACAUUCCGAGGUCCUGGGGGUCAGGGCUUCAAUAUAUGAAUCUGGGGGGACAAAAUUAA